rnacentral:rRNA from 1 species
UGUUUGAUCCUGGCUCAGAACGAACGCUGGCGGCGUGGCUAAGACAUGCAAGUCGUACGGACCGCAGUAGCAAUAUUGCGGUUAGUGGCGAAAGGGUGAGUAAUGCAUGGGUAACGUACCCUGAACUCGGGGAUAACAGCGCCCGACAAGGGCUUUAGCGAAAGUGCUGCUAAUACCCGAUGAAGUCGCCGGGUCGCAUGAUUCGGUGACCAAAGGCGGGGACCGCAAGGCCUGCCGGUUUGGGAGCGGCCCAUGUCCUAUCAGCUAGUUGGUGAGGUAACGGCCCACCAAGGCGACGACGGGUAGCGGGACUGAGAGGUCGGCCCGCCACAUCGGGACUGAGACACUGCCCGGACACCUACGGGUGGCUGCAGUAAUCGAAUAUUGGGCAAUGGGCGCAAGCCUGACCCAGCGACGCCGCGUGCAGGAGGAAGCCCCUCGGGGUGUAAACUGCUGUCAGGGUUCAGCAAGCAAAGGGCGUGAACAGCGCCCGGCGUGAGCAGAUCCCAGAGGAAGCCUCGACUAACUCUGU